CGGACUGUAGCGCAGCUUGGUAGCGCACCGUCAUGGGGUGUCGGGGGUCGCAAGUUCAAAUCUUGUCAGUCCGACCA
rnacentral:tRNA from 13 species